rnacentral:lncRNA from 1 species
AAGCAGCCAAUGAACUCGAAUGGUGAAGAGGAAUCAUUGCCUGUGAGGACACUCUUCCUCCAUCUCUCUUUUUACUAACAAAGCUGAGGGGAUGAAAGGGAAGGGGAACAUGGAUCGUCAGCAGGCAUGUCUCUCUUGCCACAUGCAGUUGAGCCCGGAAGGGGAGGCAGCAAACCAUCCCAUAUGCCAGUUACACUUGGAGUAGGGAGGUCAGAGCUCCACCUGAAGGACUGUCUGGUCCAAGACCAAUUUAAAGACAAAGAAAGGCAAAAAGAAAGGACUUGGAGAGAAGCUUGAAAGGCAAAUCUUGAACUUGCCCAUCAACAGUUGACAACUGGACACCAGGCAGAGCAAUAGGUAAGACAGCCUUCUGGUUAUUGUCUUCCUCACCGGCACAUCUUUUUGUCUAAAUUAUAGCCAUUUUAAAAAAUUGUGUGUGAAUACAUAUAUAUGUUAUAGUAUUACAGUAUAAUAAUAUACGUUAUUCCUCCCGGAGCAAGGCACUUCCUCUCUUUUUCAGUGACUUACAUAUGACCCCCUUAAUUUGGGAAUAGCUGUUUUCCCUUUUGUCCAGUCUUCCAGACAUGUAUAAUACACAGGACCAAGAUUCCCUCUAAGCUGGGCACAUGUGCAGGCAGGUGUGACUCCAUCUCCUUCUCUUCCUCCUCCAUGCAGUGAUUGUGUUUAACUCUUUUGGUUCCAGUUGUGAUGGAACUCUGUUUGUUGGUGGGGGGUCUGAGUCGUAUGCACACGUAGGGGGGAAAUCGCGCACAUGAGGGCACAUUGCACAGGUCAAAAGAACUGCUGGAUAUCUCAGUGGCUUAGGUCUCUGACUGUGGAGCCAAGGGUUGGUAGUUCAGUUCCCCAGUGGGCCUCUUUGACAGGGGCUCAAUGAU